AUGAUAGAUACAACUCGUUCUUUUCUUGUAAUUGAACUUCUCAUAAAGGUUGUAAUUGAACUUCCCAUAAAGACUGGAUCAUUCAUUUCUUCAAUGUCGUCAUUAUCAGUAUGGAAAACUCUAGGUACCGAAACAUUGUUUUAUCUUAGGAUGGCAAGUUUUUGUAUGUAUUGGAGUAAUCAUGAUGGGAAGAGUCCCUUUGAUCAAAUUCCAACUCAUCAAGUGUUACUUGGUGCUGAUAGGAAACCAUGGCUCACAGCACAGGGAAAAGCUGGAAGGGGCACAUCCAGGAAAAAGUUGUAA